CAGGUAGGAAUGAGGCAUCGACAGGCAGGAAGAGCUUGCACUGGCUGCGACCACAUAACUGGUCAGUGAGAAGGAAAUUGUGGACUAAAGUCAGGAGAUCCAGAGAGACCAUGACUGCCUGUUCAAACCCCCCACACCCAAAUUACAGGCAAGUCUUGCUUUAAGAAAAUCCAAUUUACAAAAAUUUGAAGAUACAUCUACAGAAAGCCCAAGAAGGAUUUCAUCAACUGCUUUAUAAUUCCCAUACUGUCUGAAAAUAGAACUGUCUUCCCU